rnacentral:lncRNA from 1 species
UAGCGAUGACCAAAUGGAACAGGGUUGUUAACUCUACGGAUUUUUCCGUAGAUCUACGGAUUUUCGAAAUUAUUUCGGAUUUUCAGAUAUCGACCACAUUUCUACGGAUUUUUCAGCUUCAGCCAUCAAGAAGCUAAAAUGAGGAUUUUUUUACUCUUAAGGUGUCAUUCUUCUUCUUUUUUGGUCUAUCAAGUACCAUUCUUCUUCUUUUUUGGUCUGUCAAGUGCCAUUCUUCCUCUUAUUUGGCCUAUCAAGUGUCAUUCUU